rnacentral:lncRNA from 1 species
UCUACCUUCUUCCCCAUCAUCACGGGCAUCAGCAUUCCCCCUCAGAUCUCCCUCUCAAGUGCUUUCCUCCUGACAGAUCUCUGUAAAAGAGAAAGAAAUGAAAAGAAAAAGAAGUGAAAAAAAUAUCAAUCUACACGGGAAAAGGUCUUGCCUUUUAAUUUUUUUAUCUUUUCUUUGUUUUCGUUGAUUUUUUUCUAUAUUUUCCCCUAAUUUUUCCUCUGCUUUAUCCUUUCUCAAGAGUCUUGAUUAGGUGUGAGGCUUGAUCAGAGCAGCUGCAAAAGGGAAGUUUAGAUGAUC